CAGCCAUCCCGCGUGUAUGAUGAAGGCCUUCGGGUUGUAAAGUACUUUUGGCAGAGAAGAAAAGGUACCUCCUAAUACGAGGUACUGCUGACGGUAUCUGCAGAAUAAGCACCGGCUAACUACGUGCCAGCAGCCGCGGUAAUACGUAGGGUGCAAGCGUUAAUCGGAAUUACUGGGCGUAAAGCGUGUGUAGGCGGUUCGGAAAGAAAGAUGUGAAAUCCCAGGGCUCAACCUUGGAACUGCAUUUUUAACUGCCGAGCUAGAGUAUGUCAGAGGGGGGUAGAAUUCCACGUGUAGCAGUGAAUGCGUAGAUAUGUGGAGGAAUACCGAUGGCGAAGGCAGCCCCCUGGGGAUAAUACUGACGCUCAGACACGAAAGCGUGGGGAGCAAACAGGAUUAGAUACCCUGGUAGUCCACGCCCUAAACGAUGUCAACUAGCUGUUGGGGCCGUUAGGCCUUAGUAGCGCAGCUAACGCGUGAAGUUGACCGCCUGGGGAGUACGGUCGCAAGAUUAAAACUCAAAGGAAUUGACGGGGACCCGCACAAGCGGUGGAUGAUGUGGAUUAAUUCGAUGCAACGCGAAAAACCUUACCUACCCUUGACAUGUCUGGAAAGCCGAAGAGAUUUGGCCGUGCUCGCAAGAGAACCGGAACACAGGUGCUGCAUGGCUGUCGUCAGCUCGUGUCGUGAGAUGUUGGGUUAAGUCCCGCAACGAGCGCAACCCUUGUCAUUAGUUGCUACGCAAGAGCACUCUAAUGAGACUGCCGGUGACAAACCGGAGGAAGGUGGGGAUGACGUCAAGUCCUCAUGGCCCUUAUGGGUAGGGCUUCACACGUCAUACAAUGGUCGGGACAGAGGGUCGCCAACCCGCGAGGGGGAGCCAAUCUCAGAAACCCGAUCGUAGUCCGGAUCGCAGUCUGCAACUCGACUGCGUGAAGUCGGAAUCGCUAGUAAUCGCGGAUCAGAAUGUCGCGGUGAAUACGUUCCCGGGUCUUGUACACACCGCCCGUCACACCAUGGGAGUGGGUUUCACCAGAAGUAGGUAGCCUAACCGUAAGGAGGGCGCUACCACGUGAUCUGG
rnacentral:rRNA from 1 species